GCUGGCUUUAGCCCCAGGUCUGCCUGGCUCCAAGGCCUGCAGUAGUGGCCUGUGAGCUGCAUUCCUGGCUGUUGUCAUGGUGAUGCAGAUGGGCUACCCUGUAUGCGGGACCCGUGCACAGGAACAGAGCUGCCUCCCAUGUGGCGCGUGUUUACCGGGGCGUGACCAAGAUGAGGAAGAUGGAUACUCGCUCCACCCACCACACAACCCUGCAGGCAGGAGAGCAGAAACUCCUUCCACUGAGGGCUCUGUGGAGUGGUGUGGCCCACUGGUGAAGCUCGGGAGGCAACCUGCUUGUGUUUAGUCCUGGUCCUCCCUCAUCAGAGGAAGUAUCCUAGGAUAGAACCUUACCGACGCUGUGAUGGGAAUCAAGUUGUGAACGUUACGAAGGUUGUCACAGCUUGCAGAUUCAAGCCUCUUCAGAAUACAGGUGGGCUUGUCCCUGCUGCUGGCCACUGGCACUGCAGGCAAGGACCUGGCCUGGAGGGUUCCCAGCCCAGGCUUCGUGUAAGGGACAGGCCCAGGGAGGCUGGCGCCCUGCUGUGAAUGUCACCACCACAGUCAUAUUCACUGUGAUCAAUAAGACAUGAACCCAUGGCACGCAGUCCCGGCAGCCCUCCUGUGGUAUGCCCCAACUCCACCCUGUGCCAGCUCUCUACCUGCUUCCAUGGGCUCCGCCUCACCUGGCCUGCAUCUGUGUGAGCCAGGAGAGUCAGAACACCCGUUUGUGCUUCCUCCUCUCCUCAAGGACAUGUUCAUUGCAGCAUUAUUCACAAUAGCAAAGACAUGGAAUCAACCUAAAUGCCCA
rnacentral:lncRNA from 1 species